CCCUGCGGAAGGCCGCCAGCUGCCCAGGCCUGCGCCGCACCAGAACCGCGGGCUUGCGGGGCGCAGACGGCGCGGUGCGGCCUUCCCCCUCCUCGGGGUGACACGCUACAGCCAAGGAGGGCCUGCCGUGACAGCCCGGCGAGAUGGUGAUGGGCCAGUUGUGGGUCCUUUUGGAAAAUAGAUCCAAGGACUGUCCCUCGGUGUGACGACCAGCAGGAGCCCGCAGUCACACCGUUUGUAUUUUCUCUCCAUGGUUCAUUUCUGUGUCCCACUGCGAGUUGUUUCUUGUUUUCCCGAUUCAUGAAUUCACUGUCCUCAGAAGAGAUCUUUGAAAGGUGACAUUUGUUAAGAUGUCUUCACAGAACACCCACUGUUUGAGUCACUGCUCUGAGCACAGGGAAUAGAAAUCUGAACUAAUGACAGAAAGUUAAUUUCUCAAACUGCCAUGGAAGAAAAAUUUCCUGUUGAAGUUCUGAAAAGAAAGGAAUGCCACAACUUCCUUCCAAACCUGUCACAGUGUCUGUAUUUCUUUCUUUUUCUAUCGCUAGAGAUGGAGAUUUGCAAUAAAUAUUUAUUAAUGCCAUUCUA